rnacentral:rRNA from 1 species
UACGAAGGGGACUAGCGUUGUUCGGAAUUACUGGGCGUAAAGCGCACGUAGGCGGAUUUGUAAGUCAGGGGUGAAAUCCCGGGGCUCAACCUCGGAACUGCCUUUGAUACUGCAAAUCUCGAGUCCGAUAGAGGUGGGUGGAAUUCCUAGUGUAGAGGUGAAAUUCGUAGGUAUUAGGAAGAACACCGGUGGCGAAGGCGGCCCACUGGAUCGGUACUGACGCUGAGGUGCGAAAGCGUGGGGAGCAAACAGG